AGCUUGCUAGAAGAUGACGAGUGGCGGACGGGUGAGUAAUGCUUGGGAACUUGCCUUUGCGAGGGGGAUAACAGUUGGAAACGACUGCUAAUACCGCAUAAUGUCUUCGGACCAAACGGGGCUUCGGCUCCGGCGCAAAGAGAGGCCCAAGUGAGAUUAGCUAGUUGGUAAGGUAACGGCUUACCAAGGCGACGAUCUCUAGCUGUUCUGAGAGGAAGAUCAGCCACACUGGGACUGAGACACGGCCCAGACUCCUACGGGAGGCAGCAGUGGGGAAUAUUGCACAAUGGGGGAAACCCUGAUGCAGCCAUGCCGCGUGUGUGAAGAAGGCCUUCGGGUUGUAAAGCACUUUCAGUUGUGAGGAAAAGUUAGUAGUUAAUACCUGCUAGCCGUGACGUUAACAACAGAAGAAGCACCGGCUAACUCCGUGCCAGCAGCCGCGGUAAUACGGAGGGUGCGAGCGUUAAUCGGAAUUACUGGGCGUAAAGCGCACGCAGGCGGUUUGUUAAGCUAGAUGUGAAAGCCCCGGGCUCAACCUGGGAUGGUCAUUUAGAACUGGCAGACUAGAGUCUUGGAGAGGGGAGUGGAAUUCCAGGUGUAGCGGUGAAAUGCGUAGAUAUCUGGAGGAACAUCAGUGGCGAAGGCGACUCCCUGGCCAAAGACUGACGCUCAUGUGCGAAAGUGUGGGUAGCGAACAGGAUUAGAUACCCUGGUAGUCCACACCGUAAACGCUGUCUACUAGCUGUGUGUGUCUUUAAGGCGUGCGUAGCGAAGCUAACGCGCUAAGUAGACCGCCUGGGGAGUACGGCCGCAAGGUUAAAACUCAAAUGAAUUGACGGGGGCCCGCACAAGCGG
rnacentral:rRNA from 1 species